UUCCGAACCGCACGAAAGGCGUAACGAUUGGGGCACGGUCUCAACAACAGACUCGGUGCAAUUGGAAUUCCGUUGAAGAGGCCGGCGANCGGCGAAAGGACGGAAAGACCCCAUGGAGCCUUACGGUAGAUUGACAUUGUGUCUUGGUACUACAUGUACAGGAUAGGUGGGAGGCUUUGAAACCAGGACGCCAGUUUUGGCGGAGCCAUCCUGGGGAUACCACCCUUGUAGUACUGGGACUCCAACCAUAGGCCAUGCAUCUGGUCUUGGGACACUGUCAGGUGGGCAGUUUGACUGGGGCGGUCGCCUACCAAAAGGUAACGGAGGCGCUCAAAGGUUCUCUCAGUCCGGUCGGAAAUCGUACGUAGAGGGUAAAGGCAGAAGAGUGAGUGAUUGAAAGAGAUACAGGUCGAGCAAGGAGGAAAAUCGGACUUAGUGAUCCGGUGGACCUGCGGGGAAGGGACG
rnacentral:rRNA from 1 species